rnacentral:rRNA from 2 species
UUAAGCGACUAAGCGUACACGGUGGAUGCCCUGGCAGUCAGAGGCGAUGAAGGACGUGCUAAUCUGCGAUAAGCGUCGGUGAGGUGAUAUGAACCGUUAUAACCGGCGAUUUCCGAAUGGGGAAACCCAGUGUGUUUCGACACACUAUCAUUAACUGAAUCCAUAGGUUAAUGAGGCGAACCGGGGGGAACUGAAACAUCUAAGUACCCCGAGGAAAAGAAAUCAACCGAGAUUCCCCCAGUAGCGGCGAGCGAACGGGGAGGAGCCCAGAGCCUGAAUCAGUGUGUGUGUUAGUGGAAGCGUCUGGAAAGGCGCGCGAUACAGGGUGACAGCCCCGUACACAAAAAUGCACAUGCUGUGAGCUCGAUGAGUAGGGCGGGACACGUGGUAUCCUGUCUGAAUAUGGGGGGACCAUCCUCCAAGGCUAAAUACUCCUGACUGACCGAUAGUGAACCAGUACCGUGAGGGAAAGGCGAAAAGAACCCCGGCGAGGGGAGUGAAAAAGAACCUGAAACCGUGUACGUACAAGCAGUGGGAGCCUCUUAAUGGGGUGACUGCGUACCUUUUGUAUAAUGGGUCAGCGACUUAUAUUCUGUAGCAAGGUUAACCGAAUAGGGGAGCCGAAGGGAAACCGAGUCUUAACUGGGCGUUAAGUUGCAGGGUAUAGACCCGAAACCCGGUGAUCUAGCCAUGGGCAGGUUGAAGGUUGGGUAACACUAACUGGAGGACCGAACCGACUAAUGUUGAAAAAUUAGCGGAUGACUUGUGGCUGGGGGUGAAAGGCCAAUCAAACCGGGAGAUAGCUGGUUCUCCCCGAAAGCUAUUUAGGUAGCGCCUCGUGAAUUCAUCUCCGGGGGUAGAGCACUGUUUCGGCAAGGGGGUCAUCCCGACUUACCAACCCGAUGCAAACUGCGAAUACCGGAGAAUGUUAUCACGGGAGACACACGGCGGGUGCUAACGUCCGUCGUGAAGAGGGAAACAACCCAGACCGCCAGCUAAGGUCCCAAAGUCAUGGUUAAGUGGGAAACGAUGUGGGAAGGCCCAGACAGCCAGGAUGUUGGCUUAGAAGCAGCCAUCAUUUAAAGAAAGCGUAAUAGCUCACUGGUCGAGUCGGCCUGCGCGGAAGAUGUAACGGGGCUAAACCAUGCACCGAAGCUGCGGCAGCGACACUAUGUGUUGUUGGGUAGGGGAGCGUUCUGUAAGCCUGUGAAGGUAGCCUGUGAGGGUUGCUGGAGGUAUCAGAAGUGCGAAUGCUGACAUAAGUAACGAUAAAGCGGGUGAAAAGCCCGCUCGCCGGAAGACCAAGGGUUCCUGUCCAACGUUAAUCGGGGCAGGGUGAGUCGACCCCUAAGGCGAGGCCGAAAGGCGUAGUCGAUGGGAAACAGGUUAAUAUUCCUGUACUUGGUGUUACUGCGAAGGGGGGACGGAGAAGGCUAUGUUGGCCGGGCGACGGUUGUCCCGGUUUAAGCGUGUAGGCUGGUUUUCCAGGCAAAUCCGGAAAAUCAAGGCUGAGGCGUGAUGACGAGGCACUACGGUGCUGAAGCGACAAAUGCCCUGCUUCCAGGAAAAGCCUCUAAGCAUCAGGUAACAUCAAAUCGUACCCCAAACCGACACAGGUGGUCAGGUAGAGAAUACCAAGGCGCUUGAGAGAACUCGGGUGAAGGAACUAGGCAAAAUGGUGCCGUAACUUCGGGAGAAGGCACGCUGAUAUGUAGGUGAAGCGACUUGCUCGUGGAGCUGAAAUCAGUCGAAGAUACCAGCUGGCUGCAACUGUUUAUUAAAAACACAGCACUGUGCAAACACGAAAGUGGACGUAUACGGUGUGACGCCUGCCCGGUGCCGGAAGGUUAAUUGAUGGGGUUAGCGGUAACGCGAAGCUCUUGAUCGAAGCCCCGGUAAACGGCGGCCGUAACUAUAACGGUCCUAAGGUAGCGAAAUUCCUUGUCGGGUAAGUUCCGACCUGCACGAAUGGCGUAAUGAUGGCCAGGCUGUCUCCACCCGAGACUCAGUGAAAUUGAACUCGCUGUGAAGAUGCAGUGUACCCGCGGCAAGACGGAAAGACCCCGUGAACCUUUACUAUAGCUUGACACUGAACAUUGAGCCUUGAUGUGUAGGAUAGGUGGGAGGCUUUGAAGUGUGGACGCCAGUCUGCAUGGAGCCGACCUUGAAAUACCACCCUUUAAUGUUUGAUGUUCUAACGUUGGCCCCUAAUCGGGGUUGCGGACAGUGUCUGGUGGGUAGUUUGACUGGGGCGGUCUCCUCCUAAAGAGUAACGGAGGAGCACGAAGGUUGGCUAAUCCUGGUCGGACAUCAGGAGGUUAGUGCAAUGGCAUAAGCCAGCUUGACUGCGAGCGUGACGGCGCGAGCAGGUGCGAAAGCAGGUCAUAGUGAUCCGGUGGUUCUGAAUGGAAGGGCCAUCGCUCAACGGAUAAAAGGUACUCCGGGGAUAACAGGCUGAUACCGCCCAAGAGUUCAUAUCGACGGCGGUGUUUGGCACCUCGAUGUCGGCUCAUCACAUCCUGGGGCUGAAGUAGGUCCCAAGGGUAUGGCUGUUCGCCAUUUAAAGUGGUACGCGAGCUGGGUUUAGAACGUCGUGAGACAGUUCGGUCCCUAUCUGCCGUGGGCGCUGGAGAACUGAGGGGGGCUGCUCCUAGUACGAGAGGACCGGAGUGGACGCAUCACUGGUGUUCGGGUUGUCAUGCCAAUGGCACUGCCCGGUAGCUAAAUGCGGAAGAGAUAAGUGCUGAAAGCAUCUAAGCACGAAACUUGCCCCGAGAUGAGUUCUCCCUGACUCCUUGAGAGUCCUGAAGGAACGUUGAAGACGACGACGUUGAUAGGCCGGGUGUGUAAGCGCAGCGAUGCGUUGAGCUAACCGGUACUAAUGAACCGUGAGGCUUAACCUU